GAGUUAGUGGUCUAGUGUAUGAUUCUCGCUUCGUGUGCGAGAGGUCCGGGGUUCGAUUCCCCACUAGCCCC
rnacentral:tRNA from 1 species